UACGAAGGGGGCUAGCGUUGUUCGGAAUUACUGGGCGUAAAGCGCACGUAGGCGGACUGACAAGUCAGAGGUGAAAUCCCGGGGCUCAACCUCGGAACUGCCUUUGAUACUGUUAGUCUUGAGUCCGGAAGAGGUGGGUGGAAUUCCUAGUGUAGAGGUGAAAUUCGCAGAUAUUAGGAAGAACACCGGUGGCGAAGGCGGCCCACUGGUCCGGAACUGACGCUGAGGUGCGAAAGCGUGGGGAGCAAACAGG
rnacentral:rRNA from 1 species